UCUAUGAAAAUGUAUUUUCUCAUGAAGAAAGAUAUUACAAAAAUCCAGUUUAAUAUUAUUUCUUUAAUUUUACUAAUGGUUCUAAUUCCCAAUGCCUUACAACAAGAUGUUCAUUCAUCAAGCACAUUAGAAUGAUAUCAGAGCGCAGCAUGGAAAAGUAAAGCUGACUGUCCAGAAUUGAGACAUGAGUUUGAUGUGGCUGCUAGAACCUCAGGGGGCCAAACCCAAGAGGCUGAUCUGUCCUUUAGGUGACCGUUUUCAGUGUGGACAUAACAACCACCCAUGGGACCACCUGCCUGGAGAGGCUGUGGAGGGAGAUGGGAGGAGCCUAUAGUAUGUGAACUAGGUCACUUUUUGACCUUGUGAAUUCUGGAUGAUUUCCCAACCACAACUCUGUUAGAUAAAUAUGAAUGCAAGGGAAAAGAAGUUCAUCUGUCAAAAGUUCAGUUUCUCCAAACAAAAUUAAACAGCCUCUUACAACACGUCUCUACCCAGGCCCCUUCCUCUGAUGUUGGGAUGAAGCCCGGUCAGGUCACUGUAUUUCCAUUUACUCUGACGUGCGUUUUUCCCCAUAGCAGAAGCCAGAGAGUACAGUGUGUUCUCGGGAUCACUGCAUAAAAACGAUCCACACUAACAUCAGCCCUGGGCCUGAGACUGCACAUCUAGAAUGAAAGCUCAGUGUCUGUGCAGCAUAAUGUUUAAUGUGACAGAGCUAUCUGUUAUAUGUUAGGAAAACACACCAAAGGCCAGCUCUUGCACAGGCCUCAAAGGGAAGAGCAAAAGCCUACAGCCCCGUCUCCCUGAUCUGGUUGGACAUGCGUUGAGAUUUGCCAUUAAAUUCGGGAAAAUCACGAUCCCAGAGUUUUCCUUCCAUGUCCCAGAGCGCCUGCUUCUUUUGGCAUCCCCUAAUCCACCAUCAUUCCAGGGACUGACAAUUUCUAAAUCUUGAGUUUUUUCUCUGACACGAGGGUUUUUUACAUAAUGGCUACCAGCACAGACCUAACACGUACUCAUUCCUGCCUCGUAGGCAUCACUGAAAUACCCGGGGCACCAGGCUGAAAAUAAAAGCUCUGGAAAGCAUUUCUAUCAGGAGGGGUGUCUCUGAGAUCCACAGUGCAGUUCAAAAUGACCUUCAGCUGAACCGCACUGUGUUGGCUAACUUGGGCUUUCCCUUCGGGAGGUACAAAGGGCAAUUAUUGUACGUCUCAAAAGUUCUAUUUAGUACUCAUUUGAGAGACCUUCUGUGAAGGCUUCCUCUUUGAUAACCACACAAGUAUUUGAGGGGACGCAGGAAACGCACGUUCUGACUGUAACACGGAGAAAAUAUGGUGAGUUACUACUGAGUCACAGACGGGCUGUUGCGUUCUAGCUUUUCAAGCUUCAGAUUCGCUUUCUACUUCAAUAUGAGACUGUGGAUGGUGACGAGAAAACAUCUAAUUUCUAGACAUGCUCUAAACUUAAUUAUGAGUCAGCAAGUCUUAGAAGUAUAGAAUUCUGUAUUUUCUAUUUGAAUUACAUGAAUAGUAUGCCUUUGUCUAUUUUAUUACUUGCACUAUUAUCAAAAAGUAGUGUUAAGUGGAAGAGCCCCAGAGAGACAGACCAUGAAGAACAAAUGGAGGAGACCCGGAAGGCAGGGGCCCUACAACAUAGAAAGCUCAAAGGAGAGUGGGAAGGGAGCUUAUGAAAAAGGUGUGCACUCCACCAGUCUAGGGAAAGUGGGGGUUCAGACAGUUGGAAGGAAGGAUAAUGCGGUGGUGGAGAGGUGGGCAGCAGAGGUCUUCAGAGAAAAACUCCUUCUGGAACUGAAGACUCUGGCCGGGCAGUGGAACAGGGCUCAGGCAAACCUGGGAGAUUUUAUUUAAGAGGCUCUCUAGAUGACUUCAUUUUCUUUUUACACAAGAGCAACAUAGAUAGUGAACUGAAAUUCUAUCCACACAUAAACAUGAAUAACCAAAUCUUAACCAGAACCCAGCUAAAUCAAGCCCUCAAAUAUGCCGAUUUUUUAAAUGGGUAGGCAUUUAGCCUUUGUCUCAGAGUCAAGUGACAACAAAAAACCCAAUUAGUAGACAAUAAAUGAGAAGAAGCCACAUCCCAGCCAUGGGGGAUGGCUCCUCACUGUCACUCCCACACCAGCUUGUUAUUCUAUUUCUGAAAUGUCCCUCAAACACAUUCCCCUAAUCUAGCUGUAGGCCCAACACCUUGAUACCUCAAUUUAAGGGUGAAACAAGCCCUUGUUUACCACCUAGUGACAAAGCAGACAAAAUAAUCAGGCAUUAACCACUAUCAAAUUUGACUUUGCCCAUCAAGACGAGUUGGAGAAAAAAAAGAGACUUAAGGUUUCUACUAUUUGCCACAGCCCCUGUGAACUCCUAUCAGGCAAAAGCUAACGUGUUCCCCAGGGCGUAUGACCCUUGCAGUGGCCAAAAUGACUGGAGAAUUAAAAAGGAAUCAUUAUUGCCAGUGUCAUCAUUUCACAAAGAUCUACUUAAUGAGAUUUAAAUGACACUUGAGGGACUGUGAAAAUCUUUUUUAUUGCGCUCUUGCUAGCCAGCGUAAUAUUAAGUAAAAGCUUUAAGGGCCAUUCAAAUCACAUUUUGAUAGUUUUAUUCCUUCUCCAUUUGCAGUGCAUACCUGUCCCUGUAGCAGCUCCAAGGCUACAAGGCAAAGCAUCAACCUGCUGCAAAUCUCCUGUAGAAAACCUGUGUGGGGUGGAACUAAGAAUGCCCUUGGACAGACUGGCCUGCUGAUCUCUACCAUGGUUACUGCAUUCCAUUACCGGAGAAAAUUCAAUCCAUCUGGCUUGGAAUCACGACAGGAUUGCAGCACAAUUUUUAUAAUUAUUAUAUGUAAAAAUCAUUUCCGUUUUACUCCAUAGCGGGUAUCUAUUGUUUGCCUGCCCAACAACCUUUCCCACUUCUUUGGAUAACAGAACCUCUCCAUGUCAAGAGCCUCUUCUAUCUGGUUUAGGUGGGGCUGACAUUCCUGGUUGCCCCAAUCACAUCCCUUGGCCCCAUCUCUACCACUCACACGCGGAAGACUUGUUCCUUAAGAGCACCCCAUUCCCCUGGUCCAAGGAGACCAAGGAGCUUUGGUCAACAGUUUGGGGUCUGAAAUCAACUGGUUGAAAAGGGAGACAGCCAGUUUAUCAAUUGGUAACUUGAUCUGCACAAAAACCAAGCAAACCCUUUCACUCAAUAAAUCAGGAAGAUGGUUUGGUGCUAGGCAUGCCCUUCUGCCACAUAUCUGUGAUUCUACUUGAGGGAAAGUCAGUUUGCCUUGGCUGCCUUUCCAACAUAUAGAGCAUGAUGUGACCUCUGUCCAGAGACAGACACAGCAGAGGAAGGCUGUCUCAGUGGGUGCCCGAGGAGCUGCACAUCAAUGGGCAUGAGAACAUAGACACUGUAAAAACUAACUAUGGCCGGUGACACUGGUUUUAAAAAGUAUUAUCAUGUUUCUUAGUUACACAUGCUCAGUGUUGAAAAUAUAAAAUAUACAGAAAGGCAAAAUGAAAGAAAAAUGUCAACUCUUGUCCCAUUACUGGUGCCUAAUUCAAUAUAUGUUAUUUGUCAAAAUGGUAAUCACCGUAAUAUCUUUGGUUGACUACUUUUUUCAUAUAAUAACAGAUGGUGAAUGUUUUCCCAUAUAAUGAUAUUGCUGGUCAAAAUGAGAAAUUUACCUUGUUUUGAGAAUGAUGCUUAAUUUGAAAUACCUGAUUUUUGAAUACUGCCAAUUGUAUCUCACUACUGGGAGGUCAUAACAUCAAGGUAGCCGAGAGAAAACGGUUCAGCAGGACUUCACCAACAUAGACUGAUUGUGGAGAAGGCUGGAAGUCAGAGUUAAAAGAGAUGUACAAGCCAUUUCUUUAAUGAAAUAUCACUUAGUGAUGUCCGGCUACAGUCAGGUGGACAAGGCUCUGGAGGGCGUCAGUCAAGUCAGGAGCUCUAUUGAACACAGCAAAUUUGCCUCCCAGGUUUGCAGGCCUCCUCUUAUGUUACAGUCUCGUUGAAUUUUCAGACUGACGUUUCUAGAAUGCUUGGGAGCAGUGUGCUCUCCUAGCUGAGCAUUUUAAGUAUAUUUUUUUUGUUUACAUUUUUCUUAACAUAGCAAAUAGUUUUUCCAUAGCUAACCCAAGGGAAUACUAUUCUUUCUAAAUGACCAAAAAUUCAAAUUAGGGCCAAAUUAAAUUUUAUGUUCACGAGAAAAUUAACUGGCUAGAAGGAAUCUGGUCUACCGUGGAAAGUUUAUGAAAUCAUUAUAUACAGGCAUAUGUAUUUAUGUCGUUCUUACAAAUCUCCUGGGAUUUUGAUGGACAAACUGACUCCAAUUUAAGUAGGUCUUCUUUUGUAAAUGUUCAUUAAAUGUACUCAAGAGAAGUGGGGAAAAAAAGACAUCACAGAUCUCCAUGUGACUUAGAAAAGCAGGCUCGAAAACAGAGUUUUGUUUUUCAUUUAAACUGGUGAACAUGGUGGGCAACCUGCUUCUGAAAGAUUAUGGCUGAGUCAACCACCACAAGAUGCCUGCAGUGGAUACAAUUAUCACUAUGAAAGUACGCCAAAGGCAUUAACAUUUCAACAGGGUCGUGGUUGUUGGCUUAGGAUGAUUUCUAUGGCUGAGUUAGCUUCAUUAUCAACAUACUACUUAAGACGAAUGACUCCUUUGUCUCCAGACGGAAUUUCUCAAGUGAAGUUCCUAUGUACUGGAGGUGUAUUUAUCUGGCCAUACACUAGGCUAGUUGUGUUAAAGUCAAUGCUGGAGUAUCUAUUCUGACUAUAUAUGGGUAUGAAUGAUGCAAUCAUUAAUAUUAUAUAGAGUCAUAUACUACCACCACAAUCCUUCUCCAAGGAGGUCUUUAUAACCCUAACCACAGGUGCAGGGUGAAACAACAAGUUUUCUAUUAAUAACAGGCUUUGCUUUAGAUCCCACAUCGUGGUGUCAGAAUACAUCUUUUUGCACUCUUUGAUUUGUGUAAUAAGUUUAUUGUGACGUGUAAAAGGCCUAAAUAAGUUUUAAAUGUAUACCAUGUAUAAUUUUUUCUAAUGAGCAUAACAUUUUCUUUCCAUGAUAUUCUAGGUUACUAAUAGAGUUAAAAUACAGGUUAUUUAGAAUAAAUUUAAGAUUAUUAAUCACUGAAUAUUCAAAUCAGUAAACUAAUGGAUAAACACCCAUUUUAUCUCCACAUAAAUUAAGGCAAUUUUUUUCUUGAUGUGUAGCAAAAUAUCUUGCUGUCAGCUAAUAUAAAACUAUAGAAGGAACAAAUCUGGAGCUGGAGAUAUCCCUGUGACACCUAACUGCACUCAGGGUAAGACGGAGAUUCACGGCUGUGUUUACAUGGACUUUUUUCCUGAAGGCAAGAGUCACAGACACGUUGAGACAUAUUAUUCCAAUUCUUAACAUUAGCCUUAUUUCUCAGGUCUUGAAAUAUCUUCUGCAAGCUGGAUUCAUAGCAAAUCCAGUCACUUAAAAAUAAUUUCUAUUAGGGUAAACGAGGAUCAAGCAAAUUGUAUAACUAAGUAGUAGGUCUAUUCCCAGUCACGUGUGCUUGUAAUCACCCUUUUUCAGUCUUGCUGGGGAAAUCAUAUAUAUAUAUAUAUAUAUAAAUCAUAUAUAUAUAAUUUAUUUACUUACUAAAUUUAUAAUGAAAACAUACACACACACAUAUUUUCUUACAUGUUCCCAAUGAUUCCUGGUCCUUUCUAAUUGCCACGUAACUUGCAGUUGUCCUCCAACCAUCCUCCAUACUUCUUAUCCCACUGAUGUCAGGCUUGGCCAUAUGACCCACUUUGGGCAAUGAAAUGUGAGCAGAAGUAAUGUAUGGUAGCUUCAAGCAAAACCCUUCAAGAGCCAUCUUUCUGCCAGCUUUCCUACUCUUUUCCCUUUACCAUGAGGCUAGUAUGUCUCAGACAGAGGCUGUUCCUCAAGCCUGGGUCUUGGAAUGACGACACGGAACAAAGCCAUAGCAGAUGAGCUGCUAACGUGUAAUGUGAGCAAGAAAUAAAUUUCUGUUGUUUCAGGCCACUACAACCUGGGGGACAACUUGUUACAGUGGCGUAAUCUAGCAUAAGCUAAUUUAUCACAGCUGCCAGCUAUUCAUUCUGUAGGUGAAGCCCACAGAAUGCACUAUGGACCUUUAUUUCAACUUGAAGCUGUUGGGAUAUCGGUCAGUCUGUCAUAGAAAUAAACACAGUCUUAGUAAUCGUUUUUGCUUAGAAUUCUGCUCCCCUGCCUACAGUGCAUGGUCUAUAUGAAUUAAAGAAAUGUAAACAAUCCUUUCAUGCUCAUCCAUCACAUGCUUCCAUAUGUGUGUGUGUCUGCACAUUCACAAACACACACACUUUUUCUCUCACAUACACACUUAUACUGCAAAAAAUCAAAAGUUCAGUUGCAGCUGAACAAGGAAAGUCUUCAGGAAUAUAAAUACUAUUCUCCAUGCCCAUAGUCCUAGUAGUAUUAAAAAAAAUGUACAAUCCCCUCCAAUCAAUCUCAAAGAAAAAGAAAGCAGAAAAUAUAUGCUCUACCAGCCAAAUAGUUUCUGGCCAGAUUGUUUUGAGUCAAGUUUUCCAUGAGGCAGAGUAGCUCUUUAUUCUCUUCUCUCACUUGGUACAGACUGUUCCCAUCAGGCGCCUGUGGUAUUUCUCAGGGAGGCUGCAUGCGUACACAAGCAUAUGAACAGCCCCAGCUUUUUGAAGUUGUGGAGCCACUGCCUACCACUAAAUCCCAAGAGGUUCUUCAAGAUGGAGUCAGUUAAGCAACUGAAAUGCAAGGUGGAGACUAAGAGUCCGUGGUAGCCAUCUUGAUGUUGGAUCUCAGGAGCAGAAGCUGGAAUUUCCACAAGGUCGACCAAACCGCCGGUAUCAGAAGGGUCCCUGUGUUUUCCCUCUGUCAUGCCAAUGACUUCUUGCCCAGGGAAGAGCAACUGCUUUGGACAAGUCCCAACACCACUGGGGAGUCAGGUUUCUUGGCUUUGGGCAGCUCUGGUUCUACCUUCUCUGUGAACUGCUUCCUGACCGCCCCACUCUGGCCGCCCAGGCACUGUCUUUUCAUAUCUUGCACCAGCAUGGUGCCCGCCACCCUGUCGCUAAUGGAGGAAGCUUCCAGUACAAAGGCUCAAAGAAAUUUAGGGCAGGGAGUAAAUGACUGUCUUCUCUCCUGCUUCCGGC